UACAGAGGGGGCAAGCGUUGUUCGGAAUUACUGGGCGUAAAGGGCGCGUAGGCGGCCUGCUAAGUCGAACGUGAAAUCCCUGGGCUCAACCCAGGAACUGCGUCCGAUACUGGUUGGCUUGAGUCCGGAAGAGGAGUGUGGAAUUCCUGGUGUAGCGGUGAAAUGCGCAGAUAUCAGGAGGAACACCAAUGGCGAAGGCAGCACUCUGGGACGUGACUGACGCUGAGACGCGAAAGCGUGGGGAGCAAACAGG
rnacentral:rRNA from 1 species